rnacentral:rRNA from 1 species
AAUGGGCGAAAGCCUGACCCAGCAACGCCGCGUGAGGGAAGAAGGUUUUCGGAUUGUAAACCUCUGUCCUAAGGGACGAAGGAAAUGACGGUACCUUAGGAGGAAGCCCCGGCUAACUACGUGCC